rnacentral:lncRNA from 10 species
UGCCACUGCACUCCAGCCUGGACGACAGAGCGAGAUUCAGUCUCAAAACAAAAACAACAAAAAAAAUUCUGAUUGAAAGCAAAUUUCAGUCAUAAGGAACAAUCAUUUUUUAGUUCUUCUAUACAGAAUGCAACAACCCUUUAGAGCAAGGUAAUACGUCAUGUAUGCUCUAAAAACCUAAAACAACAACAAAAACUUUCUAGGAGAUUGAUAUGUUCAUAAGAUUUUC